CCUCCCCGACGCCCCCGCGGAGCCGCGCGGGAGGGGCACCCGGCUGAGCGCCGGGACGCGGCCGCUGGACGGCAGCGGGCCGCCUGCCAGCUCCUGGAAGCCGAAGCCCGAAGGUGCUAUGUGGGCCCGAACGCCCCGCGACCCUGGUGAAUGCCAAGUCUCACCUGUCUCCCGAACGCCAGUUGCAGAGGAAAUGCCCAGCAAUAGGGCAAGGCUCCGUUGUUGGGGUUCUGGCACCUACAAGCUCAGAGAACUCAAUCUACAUGAUCUUUGGCCGACUGAAAAACACAAAACGCCGAAGUCUAUCCACGGCAGCUGGAGCCCUGUGAGUCAGUGGACAGGGCCCUGGAAAGAGAAGGGACACAUCGCUUCCCUGACAGCCUCCGGUGCGAAGCUGGGCAAAGGCCACCUUAACCUGGCUGAAGCUCAGCGAGCCUGUAUGCAAAGCAGGCGCGAACAUUUGAACUGCUGACUCCACACUCUGUGAGGAGGAGGCAGGUAAUGGAUGUGAGAACUCCGCACUUCCUUGUGCUCCUGCAGCUCGGGUGUUCAGAGUUAAGAGCGAAACAGGAGGGUCAGGUGGCCACUUACCAACUGGGCAGCCUUGGAACCUGAACAACUCUCCAGACCUCAGUAAAAGACUUCCAGAGUCCCGGUAAAAAGGGAGCAACCAUAGACAUUUAUGAUUGCCUCCUGAGGGGUCUCCAGAAAACUGAUCUAGAAGUUGAUUUUAAUUGGAACAGGCCCUGUACUACAUAAAGAGAUGGAGCACUGAUUUCCAAUAUGACAUUACUGCUUCCUCUAAAUUUACUGCUCCCUUCAAUGGAAACAGGAUUUAAUUCCUUAGCUUGCUGUGAUGCCAGCAGACUCCAGUCUGAAGAUUUUAUCUCUGAGAUUACUCCUAAUCUCCUCGCACAGUAGCAAGCCUUGUAGAAAUAUUGACGAUGUGGAAGAUAUCACUCAUUCUUCCUUUUCACUACAGCCCAAGUGUUCAUUAAGAGAUGAAUGGAUAAAGAAGAUGUGGUGUAUGUAUGUAUAUGUAGGUAUGUGUGUACGUAUGUAUGUAUGUUCAUAUAUAUACAAUGGAAUAUUAUUCAGCCAUGAAAAUAAUGACCUCUUGCCAUUUGCAACAACAGGAUGGAGCUAGAGAGUAUAAUGCUAAGUAAAAUAAGUCAAUCAGAGAAAGACAAAUAGCAUAUGAUGUCACACAGGUGCAAUUUAAGAAAGAAAAUAAAUGAGCAAAGGAAAAAAGAGAUAGAGAAAAACAAACCAAGAAAUAGAUUUUUUUUUAAUUUUUUAUUUUUUUAUAAACAUAUAUUUUUAUCCCCAGGGGUACAGGUCUGUGAAUCACCAGGUUUACACACUUCACAGCGCUCACCAAAGCACAUACCCUCCCCAAUGUCCAUAAUCCCACCCCCUUCUCCCAAACCCCCUCCCCCCGGCAACCCUCAGUUUGUUUUGUGAGAUUAAGAGUCACUUAUGGUUUGUCUCCCUCCCAAUCCCAUAGAGAACAAACUGAUGGUUACUAGAGGGGAGGCAGGUGGAGGGAUGAAUGAAAUAGGUGUAGGGGAUUAAGAGUACGUUCAUGGUGAUGAGCACUGAGUGAUAUGUGGAGUUGUUGAAUCACUAUAUUGUACACCUGAAACUAAGAGAACACCAUAUGUUAAAAUGAACUAGAAUUAAAAUAAAAAGCUUAAUUUAAAAAAAUUGGUUUUGCUUCCCUCUCCCAACCAUGGGACCCUGCCAUGUUCUAGAGUAAAUAGAGCUUAUUUCCCUGCCUCAGUAACUCUGGAUGGGUCUGUGUGAGUU